GACGAACGCUGGCGGCGUGCCUAAUACAUGCAAGUAGAACGCUGAAGGAGGAGCUUGCUCUUCUGGAUGAGUUGCGAACGGGUGAGUAACGCGUAGGUAACCUGCCUGGUAGCGGGGGAUAACUAUUGGAAACGAUAGCUAAUACCGCAUAAGAGUAGAUGUUGCAUGACAUUUACUUAAAAGGUGCAAUUGCAUCACUACCAGAUGGACCUGCGUUGUAUUAGCUAGUUGGUGGGGUAACGGCUUACCAAGGCGACGAUACAUAGCCGACCUGAGAGGGUGAUCGGCCACACUGGGACUGAGACACGGCCCAGACUCCUACGGGAGGCAGCAGUAGGGAAUCUUCGGCAAUAGACGGAAGUCUGACCGAGCAACGCCGCGUGAGUGAAGAAGGUUUUCGGAUCGUAAAGCUCUGUUGUAAGAGAAGAACGAGUGCGAGAGUGGAAAGUUCACACUGUGACGGUAUCUUACCAGAAAGGGACGGCUAACUACGUG
rnacentral:rRNA from 1 species